GGUUUGCUGUUACUAUAUUAACACUAAUCGUUUUUAAAACCUGCUUGUGGAUAAUAAAUGCACACUUCUUUACUGUUCCUGUGUAGGAAUAUAUUUACACACAUUUCUACGUAUAAAUGCAAUUUGAUUAAUUCCACACUUUGCGUAAAACUGUUCCUACACACACUUUACACACACUUCUGUUUGUACGCACACUUGAUAAAUGAGGCCCCAAGAGAUUGUCUUGACCAGGAUCACACCCCCAGUGCUUUAAGUGGGCCGGAACGCGCCGGUACUCAGUACCGCCACUUCUAAAUAUAGCUCUUGAGCAUACCACCACCUCUCCCUGAGCCCAGAACGUGCUUUUAGCGUACCGGUACGCUCAUUUGCACAUCUGUUUAAAUCAGAGGUUUUAAUCCUUUGGCUGCGCUGCCGCUUUUCAGAGCGCCCUUCACAUGGUACACUUCCUAAUUCGUCCCACCGAGAGCAGAGACUACAUUACCCAUACACCCUUGAGUUUACAAGUUAAAAGCGCAUGCGUCGCCUUUGCUGUCAGUCAGCCUCAACGUGGUGUGGAGAGGUGUGUGUUUGUGUGUGAAACGCGCAAACAUAGCUGCACGGUUAAAAUGAAAAUACAAUGAACACUUAAUAUGCCCUCCUUGUUUUAGACUCUGAGUAGUAAAAGAACAAGGUCAGAAUCAGAGGACUCGCUGGCUGACAUCCCACCAAGCCAGAAUGAUAGCAGGUCAGACACAAGCUUUUUUCAAUACCCUUUUGUAGGUACGUGACAAUCUACGCUAUCGCGGCUGUCAGUUUGGUUCCCCUUGAAGAAACUUCAGAUUUCCUCAGGUGAUGUGCAGAGUAAAAACAUUCUUGAAAUUGUAAUAGACAUUUAGUUUAAUUGCUAAACUACAAGUGAACGAAAUUUCAAUGAAUUUGAAUGACGCGCACAGUAGUUUUACCACCCGCAAAAUGGAAAACAAUGGGAAAAAAUAAAGUGAUGACUUUCUAGUUUCAAAUGGCCAGUAUUUUGUUAUUCUUGAACCCAUAGACAUGUUCUUGGUGUCAUUUUAAAGUUUUUGUUUUUAAGCUCUUUCUAUCUGAUCAACUAGUUUUAGCAUUUAACCAUACAGAAAAUUUUACUUACAUAUCUACCUUUUGCACAUUUUAUGUAUGUUCAAUAGCUAUUUCUAGCUCAAGCAAAUCCACAAAGUUAUAUAAGGAUUUAUUAUUUUUUACAAGGUCGUCUGUUGACUGCUGAAUAUAAAACCCCUUCAAUUUAGGAGUCCAGUCAGCAAAAAAAAAAAAAAAAAGGGGUACCAGCACUUCUUUUGGGCCACUUAAAGCACUGCACACCCCUAAAUGCAUUGAAGCAACUGCCAUGUGAUUGGUUGAUUAGAUAAUUGCAUUAAAGGAAUACUUCACCAAUUUAGCAUUCAGCUUUGUAUCAGUAGAAACCUGGCAGUAUUUCUGAAUGAACGUGUUUCCCUCCCUCAUGUCCCCGUGAGAGGAGAGAUAUCUGUAUUCUGGUUGUCCAAAAAAGUCCUCCGAUGACGCAAAAUGACGAUUUUUGCGUCAUCGGAGGAGUUUUUGGCCAGAGGCAAAGACUACAGCCAGUAUUAGGAGCUACUUCCGCAUGUUUUCUCCCCGCCCAUAGGGGUUGGACUGCGAGUCCAUUCGGAAAAGCCCGAAUCAAAACGAGAGUCAGCCAUCUUUAAUCUUCGCUAAGCUAAGCUAGCCUGGGUCUUGCUUUGUGGAGAAAGCCGAGUAAACAAACCACGACGGCAGAGUGUAGUUUUGAAAACGGAUGGCAGAAGGGGAUUUUGAUGACCUGUUGCCCGAAUCUGAUGGUCGUGGUACCUGUACGAGCCGCAAUACAACGAGCAACAGUUACGGAUGAUCGAGAAACAGUUACGGAUGAACGAGGAACAAGAGGCUGCAACCGCGGCUGCUGUAGCCGAGGUGGGGCCGGUCUGGUGGUUUACGUGCUCUCGUGUGCGCCUAUGGACACCGAAAGAGAGUCAUAUUGCUGUCGCGAAUUUCAGCGAUAGCAUUUUCUUCUUGAAGCCCGCAGGGAGAAACGGAGGCAUGGGUAUAAAGCGAAAGACUGGGGAAAGGACAUCGACUUGUUUUACCUGCCUGUGUUCGUUGUUCAGGACAUCAGACGUAGAUAUCCAGCUCCUCACGGACAUUAUAGCGGCUAUAAAGAAACGGAUGAAGCUCUGGAUCAGCUAUGAGUGGGAGUUGUUUAUGUUUUUUAAUAAAAAGUUAAAACUCA